rnacentral:rRNA from 1 species
AACUUGGCAGAGAUGCCUUGGUGCCUUCGGGAACGCUGAGACAGGUGCUGCAUGGCUGUCGUCAGCUCGUGUUGUGAAAUGUUGGGUUAAGUCCCGNAACGAGCGCAACCCUUAUCCUUUGUUGCCAGCGAUUCGGUCGGGAACUCAAAGGAGACUGCCGGUGAUAAACCGGAGGAAGGUGGGGAUGACGUCAAGUCAUCAUGGCCCUUACGAGUAGGGCUACACACGUGCUACAAUGGCGCAUACAAAGAGAAGCGACCUCGCGAGAGCAAGCGGACCUCAUAAAGUGCGUCGUAGUCCGGAUCGGAGUCUGCAACUCGACUCCGUGAAGUCGGAAUCGCUAGUAAUCGUGGAUCAGAAUGCCACGGUGAAUACGUUCCCGGGCCUUGUACACACCGCCCGUCACACCAUGGGAGUGGGUUGCAAAAGAAGUAGGUAGCUUAACCCUCGGGAGGGCGCUUACCACUUUGUGAUUCAUGACUGGGGUGAAGUCGUAACAAGGUAGGCGUAGCGAG